rnacentral:misc_RNA from 1 species
GUAUUGAUUGCGUGUUAUCGCAAAAAUGGGGUCACUCUACACUUUUAAAAGGGGGGGUUUGUGUGAAAACGCAAGCCCCCCCUCUGAACGAGCCAAAAGGGGGACCCACGCGGUGGUGCACAGGGUGAGAUGGAUUGUUUGAAAAUGCUCGGGCGUGCACGACCAAAAGUCAGCGACAGCCCUUGCACCUCAGUUUUACAAUAAUGAUCCUUCCGCAGGUUCACCUACGGAAA